GGGAAAUUAGCUCAGCGGUAGAGCGGUCACUUUACACGUGAAUGGUCAUAGGUCCGAUCCCUAUAUUUCCCA
rnacentral:tRNA from 1 species